rnacentral:rRNA from 1 species
UUGAUCUCAAAUCAGGUAGGACUACCCGCUGAACUUAAGCAUAUCAAUAAGCGGAGGAAAAGAAACUAACAAGGAUUCCCCUAGUAACUGCGAGUGAAGCGGGAAGAGCUCAAAUUUAAAAUCUGGCGUGCCUCUGGUCGUCCGAGUUGUAGUCUGGAGAAGCUGUUUUCCGUG